AGUAGCCAAGUAGAAGAAAGUUAUUAGAGAUAGGAGGGAAAAAUACUUUUCACGUUUGAAGAUGGAAAUGAAAAGUGUCAAGCUUAUAGCCGUAAUGUUGUUGUUGUUGAUGGGAACCUCCAUAGGGAAUAGCAGUCCUCCAGCAAAUUCCUUCUCAGAAGAAUGUUAUCAAAAGUGUUUUGAUAAAUGUUGUUUAGAUCUGGGUGAUGGAUGUGAAGACCAUUGUUCAUCUGAAUGUUCCGAUGAUUGCACACUACGUCUCCGCCGAGUGAGAACCAAGGAUUCCCUAAACAUUGAUUGUGCUUCUACCAACUGCUAUUAUCAAUACUCCGCAAAACCCUAGUGGAGAGGAAAUGUAAGAAUUCUUAAACUCUUGCUCUGGCUGCGUGUAAUCAAAAGUUAGGGUUGAUGAUUUGCAUGAUGGUUGCAUAAAAGAGAAGAUUCAUUGCUAGUUUUCGAUUCAAUAAGCUAUAAUUUAAUAUAAAUGGGAUUUUCUA